GUUUGUGUGUGUAUUGUUUUGUCUCUUUCAAACAGGUGCCGGUCCUCACCUCUGCAGUGCUGCCGUCUCCUGUAACGCUGCAUGGUCCUAAGCUACGUUUUCUUUCUUUUUUUUUUUUGUUCUUGUAAUUUUUGUCCUCAGGUGAGGUUUGAAGUGUCUGUGUUGUGCAGCUGGUCUGGUCUGUCUCUAGACAGUCCAGGCUGCACCCAUCAGUAAAUGGUGGAGGCUCACAAGGACAACACACAAGUUUCUGAACAACUCUGCGGGAGGGUUUCUC
ensembl:lncRNA